rnacentral:lncRNA from 1 species
GCCUUGGCGUAUUGUGCUAGGGAGUUGUAGGGCGAACUCCAGGUGAGUGGGCAGUUUUGUUUUCCGUAUAUAUAUAUAUAUAUACUUGACGUUUCCCAGAAAUUGAAUUGAAAUGAAAAUAUGUUUAAAAUGAAAUGCAUAUGAGUUAUGUGGAAAAACGGGAAGUGAAAUACCAUGCAUAGAAUUGAUAUGAAAAGUAUAUAGAAAUGUGAGUUGAAAUGCCAUGCAUGAAUUAAUAUAUGAUGCAAAUGUAUGAAUUGGUGCGGUGGACGCACAUGUAAGAAUUGAUUUAUGAUGCAUAUGUAUGAAUUGGUGCGGUGGACGCACAGGUAAGAAUUGAUUUAUGAUGCAUAUGUAUGAAAUGGUGCGGUGGACGCACAGGUGGGUAUUUAAUUACUGUUAUGAUGAUGAUGAUAUAUAUUGAGCUCAAAUCCUGCACCAUGGUUUAGUGCUUAUAGUAUUCACCGCAUCGCACGCUCGCCUUGGAUCCAAGUAGAUGCUAGUCGUACAGUCCACGCGGAGUGGGUACGACAGACCAGUCGCGAGAGUGUUAGUGAGAUUCCGACUGGUGGGUGACCUUAGAUUAUGUGCACAGAUGAUUUAUGAGAAGCACUAGAGCGUAACUUGUGUGCAGAAGGCCGGACGGGUCACAGAGGUGACUCCGGUAGAGUGAUAAUGAUAGAUUUUGAGCUCUAGGUUCAACCGUACAAGGCUAUUAGAGGGCCUCCGGUUGAUUACUUUCUUGCACCUGAUAUGAUUAUUGUUGAUGCAUCCAUACUUAACUGUUGAAUUAGACAUGGCAUGGCAUGAUUGAUAAAGAAAAAAAUGUUGAGUUAAUGAAUUAAAGUAUUGAGAAUAUAUAUGUAUAAUUAUAUUUUACAUUUCUGGGAAAAUAUACAGGUUUUACGGAGAGGGGUUACAACGUUUUGAAAAAUGUUUGGAUUUGGAAAAGAAUUGUUUUACUGACCCACUCAAUUUUGGUUUUGCGCCCCUCCAGGUUCAGGAAUCACAAAGGUGUGGUGACUACGAGGAAUUCGACGGUGUUCUGACAGAUUGGACAAAAUUAGGACUCACCUUC